AGAGUUUGAUCAUGGCUCAGGAUGAACGCUAGCGACAGGCUUAACACAUGCAAGUCGAGGGGCAGCACAGGUAGCAAUACCGGGUGGCGACCGGCGCACGGGUGAGUAACGCGUAUGCAACUUGCCUAUCAGAGGGGGAUAACCCGGCGAAAGUCGGACUAAUACCGCAUGAAGCAGGGAUCCCGCAUGGGAAUAUUUGCUAAAGAUUCAUCGCUGAUAGAUAGGCAUGCGUUCCAUUAGGCAGUUGGCGGGGUAACGGCCCACCAAACCGACGAUGGAUAGGGGUUCUGAGAGGAAGGUCCCCCACAUUGGUACUGAGACACGGACCAAACUCCUACGGGAGGCAGCAGUGAGGAAUAUUGGUCAAUGGCCGAGAGGCUGAACCAGCCAAGUCGCGUGAGGGAUGAAGGUUCUAUGGAUCGUAAACCUCUUUUAUAAGGGAAUAAAGUGCGGGACGUGUCCCGUUUUGUAUGUACCUUAUGAAUAAGGAUCGGCUAACUCCGUGCCAGCAGCCGCGGUAAUACGGAGGAUCCGAGCGUUAUCCGGAUUUAUUGGGUUUAAAGGGUGCGUAGGCGGCCUUUUAAGUCAGCGGUGAAAGUCUGUGGCUCAACUAUAGAAUUGCCGUUGAAACUGGGGGGCUUGAGUAUGUUUGAGGCAGGCGGAAUGCGUGGUGUAGCGGUGAAAUGCAUAGAUAUCACGCAGAACCCCGAUUGCGAAGGCAGCCUGCCAAGCCAUUACUGACGCUGAUGCACGAAAGCGUGGGGAUCAAACAGGAUUAGAUACCCUGGUAGUCCACGCAGUAAACGAUGAUCACUAGCUGUUUGCGAUACACUGUAAGCGGCACAGCGAAAGCGUUAAGUGAUCCACCUGGGGAGUACGCCGGCAACGGUGAAACUCAAAGGAAUUGACGGGGGCCCGCACAAGCGGAGGAACAUGUGGUUUAAUUCGAUGAUACGCGAGGAACCUUACCCGGGUUUGAACGCAUUCGGACCGAGGUGGAAACACCUUUUCUAGCAAUAGCCGUUUGCGAGGUGCUGCAUGGUUGUCGUCAGCUCGUGCCGUGAGGUGUCGGCUUAAGUGCCAUAACGAGCGCAACCCUUGCCACUAGUUACUAACAGGUAAAGCUGAGGACUCUGGUGGGACUGCCAGCGUAAGCUGCGAGGAAGGCGGGGAUGACGUCAAAUCAGCACGGCCCUUACAUCCGGGGCGACACACGUGUUACAAUGGCGUGGACAAAGGGAAGCCGCCUGGCGACAGGGAGCGAAUCCCCAAACCACGUCUCAGUUCGGAUCGGAGUCUGCAACCCGACUCCGUGAAGCUGGAUUCGCUAGUAAUCGCGCAUCAGCCAUGGCGCGGUGAAUACGUUCCCGGGCCUUGUACACACCGCCCGUCAAGCCAUGGGAGCCGGGGGUACCUGAAGUCCGUAACCGCGAGGAUCGGCCUAGGGUAAAACUGGUGACUGGGGCUAAGUCGUAACAAGGUA
rnacentral:rRNA from 1 species